rnacentral:sRNA from 1 species
AUGUACCCACGUACAUUCCGGUUCCUCCGCGCCGUCCGCACCCACCUGACGACUGCUCGAUACGUUUUGUUAGCC